AGAAACUUAGGUUAACACAACCAGGGGCCUUCAAAGCCCCAAAUACGAGCCCACCCUCCUAGUUUCUG
rnacentral:tRNA from 1 species